AAGUCGUAACAAGGUUUCCGUAGGUGAACCUGCGGAAGGAUCAUUAUGAAUUUGAAUGUGUGCUGCUUCAUUUAGGUGGAGUAUGUGCUAUUCUUCUUCUGUGAACUGGUACAUGUUAUUGAAGCCUUUUUUGGGUUUGGCUUCAUUACCUAGUGCGAUUUGGGUUUAUUUGUAGUCUUUUUUUUAUUCCAUUAGUGUUGAUUUGUCGACUAUUGCGCCUAUUGUUGAUGGCAGAUCUUCUUUGAGACUUUCUCUGUGCUUUUUUGGGCUGGCACUUUUUGUUUGGGUGGAAAAAGUCUUUUGAGGGAUUUGGAAUCAAUAAUAUGCAGUGGAAGGUAAAUGAAUGCUUAAACCGAGACAACUUUCAGCAAUGGAUCUCUUGGCUCUU
rnacentral:misc_RNA from 1 species